AUUGAACGCUGGCGGCAGGCCUAACACAUGCAAGUCGAGCGAGCGGCGGACGGGUGAGUAAUGUCUGGGAAACUGCCUGAUGGAGGGGGAUAACUACUGGAAACGGUAGCUAAUACCGCAUACCAUCAGAUGUGCCCAGAUGGGAUGAGCUAGUAGGUGGGGUAAUGGCUCACCUGGGCGACGAUCCCUAACGGGUCUGAGAGGAUGACCGGCCAAACUGGAACUGAGACACGGUCCAGACUCCUACGGGAGGCAGCAGUGGGGAAUAUUGCAAAUUGGGGGCAAGCCUGAUGCAGCCAUGAGGCGUGGAUGAAGAAGGCCUUCGGGUUGUAAAGUACUUUCAGCGGGGAGGCGUUACCCGAAGAAGAAGCACCGGCUAACUCCGUGCCAGCAGCCGCGGUAAUAC
rnacentral:rRNA from 1 species